CGGGACGGGGUGGAGUAAUGUCUGGGAAACUGCCCGAUGGAGGGGGGUAACUACUGGAAACGGUAGCUAAUACCGCAUAACGUCGCAAGACCAAAGAGGGGGACCUUCGGGCCUCUUGCCAUCGGAUGUGCCCAGAUGGGAUUAGCUAGUAGGUGGGGUAACGGCUCACCUAGGCGACGAUCCCUAGCUGGUCUGAGAGGAUGACCAGCCACACUGGAACUGAGACACGGUCCAG
rnacentral:rRNA from 1 species